CAGUAGCCGCGGUAAUACAGAGGGUGCAAGCGUUAAUCGGAUUUACUGGGCGUAAAGGGCGCGUAGGUGGUUAUUUAAGUGAGAUGUGAAAUCCCCGGGCUUAACCUGGGAACUGCAUCUUAUACUGGGUAACUGGAGUGCAGUAGAGGGUAGUGGAAUUUCCGGUGUAGCGGUGAAAUGCGUAGAUAUCGGAAGGAACACCAGUGGCGAAGGCGGCUACCUGGACUGAGACUGACACUGAGGCGCGAGAGCGUGGGGAGCAAACAGGAUUAGAUACCCCCGUAGUCCCUGUCUCUUAUAC
rnacentral:rRNA from 1 species